CCACAUCAUGUUGAAACACCAGUUCCUGUAUGAUCACUGAAGUUAAGCAAUGUUGAGCUUGAUCAGUACCUUGAUGGAUGACCACUUGGGAACACCAGGUGCUGCAAU